UACGGAGGGGGCGAGCGUUGUCCGAAGUUACUGGGCGUAAAGCGCGCGUAGGCGGCCCGGUAAGUCCGCUGUAAAAGUCCAGGGCUCAACCCUGGAACGCCGGUGGAUACUGUCGGGCUAGAGUCCUAGAGGGGUUUGUGGAAUUCCCGGUGGUAGCGGUGAAAUGCGUAGAGAUCGGGAGGAACACCAGUGGCGAAGGCGGCUGCCGUGGGCCUGGCCUGACCGCUGAGGCGCGAAAGCGUGGGGAGCGAA
rnacentral:rRNA from 1 species